rnacentral:rRNA from 1 species
UACGGCGGGUGCUAGCGUUGUUCGGAAUUACUGGGCGUAAAGCGCACGUAGGCGGAUCAGAAAGUCAGAGGUGAAAUCCCAGGGCUCAACCUUGGAACUGCCUUUGAAACUCCUGAUCUUGAGGUCGAGAGAGGUGAGUUGAAUUCCGAGUGUAGAGGUGAAAUUCGUAGAUAUUCGGAGGAACACCAGUGGCGAAGGCGGCUCACUGGCUCUAUACUGACGCUGAGGUGCGAAAGCGUGGGGAGCAAACAGG